CAAGUAUGGAGACACUCUGUGAUGGUGGUGGCAUCCACGAAGUAGCCAGCGCACAGGCAGCAGACGAUGUGUUCAUUCAAGUCUUUGAUCUUUACUCGGACCUCCUCCUGCGGACACACCCUCCGGCUUAGCUCCCGGGGGCUGACACUACCCCUCGCCCAGCAGAGGUCUCCGCGCAUAGCGGGGGCUCCCUUCACGUGGACUGGCCCGAUCUUCCUUUCCCAGGGGAGACCAUACCACGACGGCGGCACAACACGCAGGCGUCUUAGCCCAGAGUUUGGCAACUCGGACCACAAUCGCGCAGGCGCACUGUGACCCCCUCCUCUGCGCAGGCGCACUGGGUGCCCGGCCGGUCCCGGCCUGUCCUCUAGUCGGCCCCAGUCAGCCCCGCUAGCCGACCACAGCAGUAACCCUGCCGCCCCUGCACCUCGUUCCGUAGCGGGUCCAUCUUGUACACUGACUGGAGCUGGUUCCGAAGCCUCAUCGCGAUCGCAAUCUGGCCCCCCUGAGGAGACGCCAUCUUAAAGGCUGAUCCUGGCUUGCCACUUCCGGUGCCGCCUGCAGGGCGGGACUUGUCGCCGAGCAACGAGGGCUUAGGUCUUUUCGGAUUCGCUGACUCUCCGUAAGGCCCCGCCCACGUCCUUUCUCCCCCGUGUGCUCACCUGAGCCCCAGUGGCCCCUCCCCCUCCGCAGUUGGUAAUUGGGGAGCGGGGGGGUGUGGGGAGGGGCCGAUCUCAUUGACCCCCUGCAGUAAUAAUCAUCGAAGACCUGACCGGACCUCGGGACGAACUUUUGGGGCCUGCAGAAGCCUGCCUCCUCCUUCCCCCGAAGGCCGGGCGUCUCCGCCCGCCACCGCUCAGGGUCGCCCAGCUCUGGUGACAACCACGCUAAAGCCCCUCCCGCGCUCUCCGUGUUAUGUCGCCCUCGUCGGCCGCCGCUAGACAAUGCGGAGCUACAUCCGACGGUGGGCCUUCUCCCGGCUCCAGGGCGGGAGUUUCUCGGGGCUUCGCGGAGGCUCGGGGAGGGCGACGGGAGGAGGAACCCCUAGAGACUUGGUAGUGAUCUUACAUCCCCCCCCGCCGUCCUCCCCUGCCGCCGCGAGGAGGGGGGCAGGCCCUCGUUAA